AUAAGCGGAGGAAAAGAAACUAACAAGGAUUCCCCUAGUAACUGCGAGUGAAGCGGGAAAAGCUCAAAUUUAAAAUCUGGCGGUCUUUUGGCUGUCCGAGUUGUAAUCUAGAGAAGUGUUAUCCGCGCUGGACCAUGUACAAGUCUCCUGGAAUGGAGCGUCGUAGAGGGUGAGAAUCCCGUCUUUGACAUGGACUGCCAGGGCUUUUGUGAUGCGCUCUCAAAGAGUCGAGUUGUUUGGGAAUGCAGCUCAAAAUGGGUGGUAAAUUCCAUCUAAAGCUAAAUAUUGGCGAGAGACCGAUAGCGAACAAGUACCGUGAGGGAAAGAUGAAAAGAACUUUGGAAAGAGAGUUAAACAGUACGUGAAAUUGCUGAAAGGGAAACGCUUGAAGUCAGUCAUGUCGACCAGGGAUCAACCCUGCUUUUGCUUGGUGCACUUCCUGGUUUGAUGGGUCAGCAUCAAUUUUGACCAUUGGAAAAAGAUCAAGGGAAUGUGGCAUCUCUGGAUGUGUUUAUAGCCCUUGGUCACAUACAAUGGUUGGGAUUGAGGAACUCAGCACGCCCUUGUGGAGUGCUUAGGAUGCUGAUAUAAUGGCUUUAAUCGACCCGUCUUGAAACACGGACCAAGGAGUCUAACAUGCCUGCAAGUGUUUGGGUGGAAAACCCGAGCGCGUAAUGAAAGUGAAAGGUUGAGAUCCCUGUCGUGGGGAGCAUCGACGCCCGGACCAGACCUUUUGUGACGGUUCCGCGGUAGAGCAUGUAUG
rnacentral:rRNA from 1 species